GAAGGUCAGCAUCAUUCAAAUUGUAUUAGUAAAGAAAAUAGUGUUUAAUCUACCUCCAGAGAAAAAGCAGUUGUGAUAUUAGCAAACACAGCAUCAAAGUAGAAAAGAGAGACUAAUCUGGAGAAAGAAAGAAAGAAACUAUCACAGCAACUGGGAAAACCUAGAAGAGAAGCUUCAACAGUGAGCUGGGAGAACCCUAGAAGAAUGCAGAGAAUGCUUUGCUACAUGGAAAGGAAUCCACAAGAAGGAAAAGCCCCCAAAAUAGCCUCACCAGACUUUGGAUCAGGCCCAUGAAAAUGCCAUGCUCUGGAUAAUGAUCAAAGAAGGGGCAAAAUGAAUCACCUCCAUUUCUGCAGCAAGGAGCUCUCUUGCAUCUGAAGACAGCCCCUAGGCUCUACAAGUUUGAUAACUUCCCAGCCAAUGAGUGAAUGUUCCUAUCCUCUCAGUUUUUAUCAUUCACUGACAAAUACUCCAGACACAUCCUUUGUUAAUUUGGAAGCUUUAAGAGAAAGCACCCCUCUCCCUGUUCAGGUAUCUUCUUGUUCGUCUGUUACAAGAUAGAGCGAAAAAGGAGAUCCUGACCUGUGUGGAAUCAUUCAGUAUUUUGCAGGCUCCUAUCUGCAUGGCUGCAAGGACUAACAAAUGCCUAUUUAAAAAUAUUUAUUUUUCAUUGUCGUAAAGUGAGAGUGAAAGCAAGCUGGCUGGAGGAAAAAAAAAAAAUCAAAACCAAGAAUCUCAGAAUCACAAAACUGGAUCCAGCACUCCAAGUAUGGCCUCACCAGCACUGACUGGAGUGGAAGGAUUGCCUCCCUUUACCUGCGGACAACUCUCCUCCUAAUGCAGCCCAGGACGCUGCCAGCCUUCUCUGCUGCUAUGGCACAUAGCUGUAGCAUGUUCAACCUGGUGUCCACCAGCACCCUCGGGUCCUUUUCUGCAAAGCUGGAAGUAGCUUGUCAUUCUAGAACUGUCAGCCUCUCCUCAGAAGAGGGAUUUGUGUGGGCACAAAUAAUUGCACAAUAAAGACCAAACAAACAUUCUUUGCAAAGAGGGAUUUAAACAUAUGUCCAUUGCAGCUCUGUCUUUGUUUUGGUUUCCCUAUAUAACCACUUGGGUAAAACAGACAGUGCGAUUACUACACUGGUUCUCAGAGCACGAUGUUUAGCUAUUGAUGCUAAAAGUCUUGCCUGGUUUUCUUCAGAACUACUGAACUGAUAAAGCCAGACCAAAAGGUCUCGCUGCCUCUUCUAAGAGUGUGCACAUAUGAGUGUGCAUGUGUGUGUGUGUAUUUUACGGCCAGCAGUUUUCUGCAGCAUCUCUUGUUUACUUUUGUGAUGGGCACUAGGCCAGGAAGACUGUCUGCCUCCAAUCUAAAUGAGCUUAUGACUUUACAGAACAUUUUUCACUGACAUUUUGGGGAUGAGAUAUGUGGACAGGCUAUCUGUGCAACUCUAGAGACAUCUAGACAAGUGAGGACUUGGACAGCUCUGAGUGCCUGCAUAUGCUGUGCUGUGUGUCAUAUAUACAGGAUUGAUUAUUCUCCUUUUACUGCAUUAAAGGACUGUGACCAGCUUGCCAGGACAAUGUUAAGAACAUUUGCAUGUUCCUUUGAAAGGAGCCUGAAGCUAUCCUAUGGCCUGUUGCACCAAUUCCCUAAAUGUAUGUUUUAAUUUAUGAUGUUGUCUACAGGUCCUGACAGCAGGGCUAGCAGACUGCAUCACUAAAUUAAACAAUGGCCUGUUCCCUACCAGGCAAGUUGAUGAAUGAGAGAUAAGGGCAUAGAAGAGUAAAAGAACAUAGGAAUCUAGCUGUCUAUCCUUUGCUAUUUUUUUCAUCGCAGGUAGGUCCCCUGUACAGGAAUUUUAUUUUAACAUGGAAUCCACUUCAGCUUCACUCUAUACCUACCGCAUUCACAAUUACGUAAGCAUCUCCAGGACGAA